CACUGUUCUGUUUGCGAUCCGGCAUUGUCGCGGUUCCAAGGCCAAAUAAUUAUCUUCAGUUUUACUCAGCGAGAUAUCAAACUUUUUCAAACGUUGAUUCAGUCGAUAUCAGUCUAACAUUAGCAUGCGGUGCUGAACCACGUGAGAAUAAGUCUUAUAAUCUAGAGAAUGGAAAGUCAAGUUAAUGAAGCAGGUGUAAACGAUGAUAUGGAAAUUGUCGUCAAAUGUGAAAAGCACGUUAUCGAUGAGGUUACAGCAACGAGUGUUUGCAAUGAAGUUCCUACACAAAAAUCUCAACAAGAUGUGAUAGUAGAUUGUAGCCCUAAUUCUGAAGAAGAGGAUGAAAACUCCAUGCUUCUAGAAAUAGAAUCAUCAAAAUCUCAGGCUUCUGAAGUAGCAGCUGGUGAAGGAUGUGUUUUGCAAUUGGAGUCAAAUCACGAAAAUGAAGAUGUAAUUGUCGAGCAAGAGAACAAGACGGAUCAUCAUGAAACCAUUGAAAACGCUGCCAAAAGCUGUACCCCACACUGUACCACAUCUACACCAGGGGAAAAUGUGACAUCUGACCAAUUACAGAAUACUGUUGAAUUUGUUCAACUAUUGGAGGCAGACUUGAUUCCCCCUAAAGAAAACCAGAUUUCAAAGCAACUCACUCAAGAAAUACAAGUUCCACCUUUACAGGUUGCAGAAGCUUGUGAGAAAAAAGCUCUGGCGCAUGAAGGAACUGUUGAUGCAGUGAAAGAUAAAGAAAGUAGCUGUUUGGAAAAAAUCUUAACUAAGAACUUAAGUGAGCUGUCAGUUAAUGAAGAGUUUAAUGGAGCAGAAACUACAAAAGAAAAUCACCAUGAUGAUAAAAUCUCAGUUGAAGAAUCUGAUGCUGUUGUGUUAGAAACCACUGCAAGUAUUCAAGAAGUUAAUGUGGAAAACAUAGCAAAUUCAAAUCUUGAACCUGUUGAUGAGGAUCCAAUUUCGAGGAGGUUCACAUUACUCAAGAAGCGAGUUGAUAGAAGUCUUACCCUCUGCUCUAAAAGCCUGGUUGAAGACUUCCUCUCUGUUAAAAAAUUCUUUGAAGAAAUAGAUCAACAAGAAACUCUACUUCAAGAAAUGGCAUCCCAAGCUGACCUCCUGAAGUCAAUACUAGAAUCUGCAGAACAGUUACCAGAAGAACUGAAAGUUACUGUUCUUGACCACUUGGAGGCAUGCUUUAACGUAGGUCAUUGGCUGGAGAAAUCAGUAAAAACGAAGCAACUUGCUGAGUGCAGGCAAUUGUUGAACAAAGACAAAGGCUAUGUUUCGCUGAGAUAUAGUGGGAUCUCUAAAGUAAAAACCAUCAUCGAGCAGCAUUCGCAAGGUACGUCGAAAUCACCAAUGCUAGAACUUUCACGAGAAGAUGUGCAAGAGGCUUCAUGUGAUCCGUUUCUUGUCACCGUCACACACAUCGUUGAUCCGGGAGAGUUUUAUAUUGUCCGAUUUUGCGAUAAAGCAAGACUGGACAGAAUCCUUUCAGAGCUCAGAGACAACGCAUCUUCUUAUCCGACUCCAUCAGAAAUUACUCCCGGCAUCGUGUAUACCGUUUGCAACAGUGGUCUCAAUUGGUUUCGUGGCUCUUGUGGAAAACAGUGUGGAAGCCAGGUAAUUGGGGAUCAUCCUCCCGAAAUCCUUUACGAAUUUUUCAUGAUUGAUCAAGGGCAUCACGAAAAGAUCCCUGCUUCGUCUAUUCGCAUUCUACCUCAAGAGCUUUCGAAUCAUCCUCCAUUCGCCCAUGAAUGCACUCUAAAUCAAAAUUUUCAGGGUGCUCCUUGGAGUAUUCAAGCAACCACUCUUUUCAAGCAGAUGACAAGGCAAUCCCUAAUGAAUAUGAAGGUUUUCAGUCAACACGGAGGAGUUCUAGAAGUUGAUCUUGCCCAGCUAAUCAGCUUUGGGGAAGCAGCAAACAUCGUUUCUGUUAGAGACGCUUUGUUUUUGUCACAUCGGCCAUCGUCUACUGAACCACCGAACAAGAAAUUCAAGCAGAAAUUUGCUGUUGAAGAACUCGAUCAUUCCAAACAAUUUUCUGUUAUCGUGACUGCAGCAGAAUCCCCCAGUAACAUCUAUUUUCAAGUGGCGGACGAACAAUGUACUGAAUAUCGACAAAUGAAACAGGAAUUACAGACUGAGAUGGAAAAUGCCAGCACGCCUUUGAGUUUUUCACAAAUUCAAAAAGGUUGUAGUUGUGCUGCAAAAUAUCGUGGACUAUGGUAUCGAUGUAUGAUCGAAGAUAUCUAUCAACACAACAGGGUGCUUAUUUUCUACGUGGAUACAGGACACCGUCUAAGGGGAAACUUUUCCGAUUGUUUCAACCUACCGGAAAGGUUUUUCCAUCUGCCUGCUCAAGCAAUACGUUGCAAGCUUGAUGGCAUCAUUUGCAAGAAUCCGCGGGCACCAAUGGUUUACCAAAAUCGGCGUAAUCCAAUGGUCAAAUGGUCACAGGAAUCGAUAGAAAUGGUACACAGUUACCGUGACUUGCGUGGAGUCGUCAUUGUAGAGCAUUGGAUGUACGGAGACGUAGGGCGCGUGGACCGAGAACUGACUGCCUGUGUCGUUUUAUAUAAAGACGGCGAGAAUUCAAGCCUCAAUUUCUGUCUGUCCCACAACGAUUAUGUCGCCACCAGCAAGAACCAAUCCCAUCCAGAACAUGCCACAAUCAGAUCAAGUCUCGCUGCGCAAAGACGAAUUUCUCAGUCUACGUCCAUUAAUUCGGUCGGUAGCGGGUCAUGUGUUCCGUCAACAGACGUCUCUAUUGCAUCUCCGAUCCCUUCUGAGAUGAGCACUCUUUCGCAGCCUUUAAUCUGCACAUCUGAUCCGAUCUCUACCGACCCCAUAUCGAUUGAAACUGAUGUCCAAGUAUCUCGAGGGGAAAAAAAAGGACAGCGUGAUUUUUACCAACACGAAGACGGCGAAUCAAACCAAUUAGCCAGUGCCCCUUCAUGUAGCUUCGAUCAUCUGUCAUCUACUCACCAACAAAGUGUCGGAGACCCUUUAUCUGCUGGCAACGUAACUGAGUUGCUACCUUCUCUUAAUUCCGCGACUAAUGCUCAAGAAUCCAUUGCAUGUGACGUUUCUUCGUCAACGCAACUGCCAGUUUCAGACUCAGAGGCCAAGGCAAUUUUAGUUAACGAAGCAGCUAACGGAAGCAAUAUUGAAGCGUGUAUUACGAAUUCGUGGAAACACUUCAAAUUCCAGUUUGGAAAGGCAUCGACAUCUCAAACAAGGAAGAAUGAAUCGCUUAAUACGCCAAUGGACAAACCUCCUCUUGAAGAUUUCCGUCGUGUUUCUAAUCCAGGAGUCGGUCCACUACCACUUGCUCAAGACACGUUAACUGAUCUCACUUCAAAAAUGACCAUGCAGUCCUCAGCGGUACAUCCUACCAUUUUGGCAACUACUUCCAAUCAGCGGGAUAAAAGAAAUGCUAACACGACAGAAACAAAUCCAGAUGGUGCUUCGUCCGUUAAAUGCAUUAAUGACGCUGAUAUUAUGAGUACUCAAGGAACGCAGCCAGAUUGUGAAACUUCAAUCAAGGUCUCCUUUGUUUGGAUCGACUCCCCUGACGCCAUCUUUUUUCGCACGGCAGAUAUGCAGAGUCAAUUCCAAGAUCUGCGUUAUAAUUUGAAGAAACACUACGGAGGACGCAAGUUACGUUCCCAAGGGGACUUUGAUAUUGGUUAUCGUUGCGCCGUCAAGGCAGAUAAAUUGUGGUGGCGCGCUGAGGUUGUGUGCGUGGAAAAUUUUCCUUCAUGUAAAGUCUCUUUAGUUGACACUGGAUAUCAACGCACAGUUAACGCGAGAGACAUUUACCCUUUGACAAAUGAAUUCGACGAAAUCCAACGCCUAAUACUAAUGUGUUCGUUGUGUGAUGUCUAUUCUGGGACUAGCGAUGAAAAGUGGAAAGAUGAAACCAUCAACUAUAUUCGUGACCGACUUAUGGGAUCUGAAGGAAUUCAUAUUUUAAAACGAGGUCCAGAGUCGAAACGUUCGCCCCUUCCAAUAAUGUGUUUGUACGAAUACGAUGUGGAAGCCGGGGCAUUACAAAGUCCAGGCGUGACACGGAUCAACCUUAACGAAGAGCUCGUUGAAAUGAGAUUAGCUUUUCACUCUUCCAAACCUUCGCCAGUUCAAAAACUUGUUGCUAAAAUUCCGGCAUGGAAAUUGCCGGAAUCACCAAAGCUUGGCUCAGCAUUUUGGGGGGUGGUGACUUGGGUCAAUUUGGAAGCAGAGAUCUUCUUGCAUGAUGUGAAAUUUACAGAAAAAUUGAAUGAGAUUACCAAAUGGCUAAGCGAUGCUUACAUGGAUACAGAGCCUUCACUUGCCGAUCUUAACUGCAGUCCAGGAGAUCUCUGCAUAGCAAGAUACGAAGUUGACAAACAAUGGUACCGCGGUAUCAUAAAAAGGAUUGUUCAACCCGGAAUUGUGGAGGUGUUUUUUGUCGAUUAUGGCACAUUGGAUGCGGUAGACUGUCGUUACAUUCGACUGAAAAUCAUGCUUGAAGAAGUGCCCGUUAUUGCAAUAAGCUGCAAACUUUUCAACGUUCGACCUUUAGCUAACACCGAUGGAAAAUUGGAGUGGCAAGAGGGAAUGCUUAACGAAAUCCAUAAAGAAAUUGUGGAAAGAGAAUUUAAAAUUCACGUCAAAGGCAGAGGCCGCCCACUGCCAAUCGUGAUGUUGACCGACAGACGGCAGUCGUAUUCGGAUCUACUAGUUCAACGAAAUUGUGUGGAGAACAUCGAUCCAAGUUUAAAAAGUAGAAAAAAAAAGAAGCAAGGAAAGAAGAAGUAAAUGAAAAAUGUGAUUCAAUUCCUGUACUACUCAGGUUUUUUUUUUUUUUUUUUUAUCAUUUCUCAUCCAUCUGGAUUAUCUCUCACUUUCAGUUUAACAAAUUUCUGUGAUCAAGAAGACAGAAGGAAAUUCUGUUAGGAAAUUGAAGUCGAGCUUUUUUCCCGUUAAUAUGGUUAGACACCCUAGCUCUCCGUCAAACCAAGAUCCUUCUCCAGUUUAAACUUUUUUGUGUUGACAUUGAUGUAAUCAAAUGUAUUCAAAUGUUUUGAACCAAGAUAAUACAACUUUUUUCAUAUAA
rnacentral:misc_RNA from 1 species